rnacentral:rRNA from 1 species
CCUACGGGAGGCAGCAGUGGGGAAUAUUGCACAAUGGGGGAAACCCUGAUGCAGCGACGCCGCGUGAGUGAAGAAGUAAUUCGUUAUGGAAAGCUCUAUCAGCAGGGAAGAAAAUGACGGUACCUGAGUAAGAAGCCCCGGCUAACUACGUGCCAGCAGCCGCGGUAAUACGUAGGGGGCAAGCGUUAUCCGGAUUUACUGGGUGUAAAGGGAGCGUAGACGGCAGUGCAAGUCUGGAGUGAAAGGCGGGGGCUCAACCCCCGGACUGCUCUGGAGACUGUACGGCUGGAGUGCAGGAGAGGUAAGUGGAAUUCCUAGUGUAGCGGUGAAAUGCGUAGAUAUUAGGAGGAACACCAGUGGCGAAGGCGGCUUACUGGACUGUAACUGACGUUGAGGCUCGAAAGCGUGGGGAGCAAACAGGAUUAGAUACCCCAGUAGUC